rnacentral:guide_RNA from 1 species
UAAAUCAUGCAGUAAAAGACUAUGUAGAUGGAUAUUCAGUGAU